rnacentral:rRNA from 1 species
GGCCUUGAAAUACCACCCUUUAAUGUUUGAUGUUCUAACGUUGGCCCCUGAUCGGGGUUGCGGACAGUGUCUGGUGGGUAGUUUGACUGGGGCGGUCUCCUCCUAAAGAGUAACGGAGGAGCACGAAGGUUGGCUAAUCCUGGUCGGACAUCAGGAGGUUAGUGCAAUGGCAUAAGCCAGCUUGACUGCGAGCGUGACGGCGCGAGCAGGUGCGAAAGCAGGUCAUAGUGAUCCGGUGGUUCUGAAUGGAAGGGCCAUCGCUCAACGGAUAAAAGGUACUCCGGGGAUAACAGGCUGAUACCGCCCAAGAGUUCAUAUCGACGGCGGUGUUUGGCACCUCGAUGUCGGCUCAUCACAUCCUGGGGCUGAAGUAGGUCCCAAGGGUAUGGCUGUUCGCCAUUUAAAGUGGUACGCGAGCUGGGUUUAGAACGUCGUGAGACAGUUCGGUCCCUAUCUGCCGUGGGCGCUGGAGAACUGAGGGGGGCUGCUCCUAGUACGAGAGGACCGGAGUGGACGCAUCACUGGUGUUCGGGUUGUCAUGCCAAUGGCACUGCCCGGUAGCUAAAUGCGGAAGAGAUAAGUGCUGAAAGCAUCUAAGCACGAAACUUGCCCC